GUAGAUUUCAUCUCCUGGCUUUCAUCUUAAUUAGCGAAAUCUAUUCAUGGGGUCGAUGAUUAACAACCAGCGGUUUAACCCGAAUCAUUUGCAGUAUCACUGGUAGGGCGAACGUGGACACAAAUGCGCGAAAUAAGGAGGAUCUGUCCUAUUUUCCCUCCCUUUCUUGUCGUCAAAUUGUCCCCAUCCAUCGUUAUCUUAUUCUUGGUUGGUUCUCAAUGUGGGUUGUUUUGGGAGCCAAUUUUUUCUCGUGGGUUACUGCUUGGCAGCCAUGAUGAUCUCCGGAAUGAACAUUGUGAUGACUGUACUUGGCUCUGUGUUCAUCAUCUCUGUGCGCACCAGGUUGGUCUGCACGAGGAUAGCGUCCAGGCGGCGGCAGCGGGAAGAUCUGCGCCUAAAUGUAGAAUUGGUGAGCUUGGUUGAAGAUCACUCUGUCUUGUUUUAGUUGGGUCUGGCAACUUUUUUCUUUUUAUUAGGUUAUGAGAGUGGCGACCGUGCAGUGGGUGCAGAAUUUGGCAUAACUGCAAGUAGCAAGUUGGGUUUCAGCAGAACUCUUCUAUGCCUGGUCGUAGUUCUGAUAUUUGCUCUGCUUUUUAGUAGAUUCCCCGUUUUGAUGGAGAUUUGGCUUCAGUUUGAAGUUUGGAAAGCUGAGAUUGUUGAUCACGGAGAGUUUUCAACAGACUUCUGCUUGAAGAAGGAGCAAACAUACAUGAAUUGGAAGAAGUUAUUGUUGCAAAGUUUCCUACGACAAAUUUCAAUAGUGAUGAUUUCCCUUCUAAAGAAUAUGCCCAGUGCUCGAUAUGCUUGGCGGGGCAGUAUCAAGGGAGGGACGUCUUGAAGACCAUGCCAAAGUGUGGCCAUGCAUUUCAUGUCGCUUGCAUAGACACAUGGCUGCUAAAAAAAUCAACUUGUCUAGUUUGCGGUUUACCAUUGAGAGAUGCUUAUCAUGAACAUCUCCUACAGUGGCUAUGGCCAUCCAAAGAACAGAAAGUCCAGAUAGAGACACCAUUACUGGACCCGGAAGGAUGACCUCAUCAGCUAACGGUAGAAGCUCCACGAUUUUCACCUCAUUGUGGCAAACACAGCACACCUUGAAAGGGGGAGUUCCAUUUUUCGGAUGUUUUAGCAGUUGGUGUCCAUGGCUUUGAUGAUCCAUUCCAAUUGCUGAUUUGGAUUGCUCAAUCUGGAGAAAUAGGCAGGCAAUUUGCACUGGACAAGGUGCACAUGAAUGCGUGGAGAUUCUUACAGACGUAUGCUAUUAUUGUUCACGGGUCAGAAAGAAGUUACUAAUUCUCCUGCAUUUCUUGAAAAAAUCCCAGCAUUUCUGCCAUGCUUUCGAAUGCUUUACUCAGGAAGCGGCUCCAAAACCAAUGCCAUUAACAUACCGGCGCAUCGACGUGUUGUUAUCCAUCAGCACCAUGUAACCAACCUUAUAUUGAUAGGUCACAGGAUGAGAAACAAGCACCUGCAGAAACUAGGAACCGGUAUUUGGAGCAAAGACAACCAAAUUGAUAUUGGAUGAGUAAAGUGAUUAUGUUUAUUUGAA